CCCCAGAGGCAGACAUCAUAAUCUCCAUUUUCCAGCCCCGUGACUGAGGAAGAAGCUCAUCUGCGCGUGCACUGCAGACCGGCGAUGGAGCAUGAACUUGAUGUUAGAACUCUUGAUCCUAAAUUCCAGGU